AAAUUGAAGAGUUUGAUCAUGGCUCAGAUUGAACGCUGGCGGCAGGCCUAACACAUGCAAGUCGAGCGGUAGCACAGAGAGCUUGCUCUCGGGUGACGAGCGGCGGACGGGUGAGUAAUGUCUGGGAAACUGCCUGAUGGAGGGGGAUAACUACUGGAAACGGUAGCUAAUACCGCAUAAUGUCGCAAGACCAAAGUGGGGGACCUUCGGGCCUCAUGCCAUCAGAUGUGCCCAGAUGGGAUUAGCUAGUAGGUGGGGUAAUGGCUCACCUAGGCGACGAUCCCUAGCUGGUCUGAGAGGAUGACCAGCCACACUGGAACUGAGACACGGUCCAGACUCCUACGGGAGGCAGCAGUGGGGAAUAUUGCACAAUGGGCGCAAGCCUGAUGCAGCCAUGCCGCGUGUAUGAAGAAGGCCUUCGGGUUGUAAAGUACUUUCAGCGAGGAGGAAGGCGUUAAGGUUAAUAACCUUAGCGAUUGACGUUACUCGCAGAAGAAGCACCGGCUAACUCCGUGCCAGCAGCCGCGGUAAUACGGAGGGUGCAAGCGUUAAUCGGAAUUACUGGGCGUAAAGCGCACGCAGGCGGUCUGUCAAGUCGGAUGUGAAAUCCCCGGGCUCAACCUGGGAACUGCAUUCGAAACUGGCAGGCUAGAGUCUUGUAGAGGGGGGUAGAAUUCCAGGUGUAGCGGUGAAAUGCGUAGAGAUCUGGAGGAAUACCGGUGGCGAAGGCGGCCCCCUGGACAAAGACUGACGCUCAGGUGCGAAAGCGUGGGGAGCAAACAGGAUUAGAUACCCUGGUAGUCCACGCCGUAAACGAUGUCGACUUGGAGGUUGUGCCCUUGAGGCGUGGCUUCCGGAGCUAACGCGUUAAGUCGACCGCCUGGGGAGUACGGCCGCAAGGUUAAAACUCAAAUGAAUUGACGGGGGCCCGCACAAGCGGUGGAGCAUGUGGUUUAAUUCGAUGCAACGCGAAGAACCUUACCUACUCUUGACAUCCAGAGAACUUAGCAGAGAUGCUUUGGUGCCUUCGGGAACUCUGAGACAGGUGCUGCAUGGCUGUCGUCAGCUCGUGUUGUGAAAUGUUGGGUUAAGUCCCGCAACGAGCGCAAC
rnacentral:rRNA from 1 species